rnacentral:sRNA from 1 species
CUCCUCCCUCAGAUCGUGAGGCUCCCCAGCCUGGCUCGGGAGACCCCGAGAUCCCCUGCUCCUGUCCACCUCUGACAGGCGACCCCCUGCUCCUGUCCACCUCUCGACUCCGCGCUCUCCUCGCCGGCCGCCGCCGCCCAGCCUGCGCCCGCCGUCCCCCUAGUGCCUGGGCACCUGUUGGAGGCAGAGCCAGGGGUGCUGCAUGAGGGGCCGCAGGGGCGAUCGCAUGACCAUCAACAUCCAGGAGCACAUGGCCAUCAACGUGUGCCCCGGGCCCAUCCGGCCCAUCCGCCAGAUCUCUGACUACUUCCCCCGCCGGGGACCAGGACCUGAAGGGGGCAGCGGGGAGGCCCCCACCCAUCUGGUCCCCCUGGCUCUGGCCCCCCCUGCAGCCCUCCUUGGGGCCACCACGCCUGAGGAUGGUGCGGAGGUGGACAGCUAUGACUCGGAUGAUGCCACCGCCCUGGGCACGCUGGAGUUUGACCUUCUCUACGACCGGGCCUCCUGCACUCUGCACUGUAGCAUCCUCAGGGCCAAGGGCCUCAAGCCCAUGGAUUUUAAUGGCCUCGCCGACCCCUAUGUCAAGCUGCACUUGCUGCCUGGAGCCUGUAAGGCCAAUAAGCUAAAAACGAAGACUCAGAGGAACACACUGAAUCCCGUGUGGAAUGAGGACCUGACGUACAGCGGGAUCACGGAUGAUGACAUCACGCACAAGGUGCUCAGGUGAGGGCCCCCCUCCACACCACCCAGCAGCAGCUCGGGGACAGCUGACACUGUAACCGCUGGUUGUUUGAUCUAUGUCCCAUUAAGCCCGUACCUCUCUGAUGUUCAAGAACCAUCAGCGGCUCCCUAGCCCCUUUGGCAGCAGGCCAAAAUACUUCCCUGCCACUCCUGCCCCCCAAUAUCUCCUGCCUGCCAGGUGUGGUGGCUCACACCUGUAAUCCCAGCACUUUGGCAGGCCGAGGUGGGCGGAUCACUUGAGGUCAGGAGUUCGAGACCAGCCUGGCCAACUUGGUGAAACCCUGUCUCUACUAAAAAUACAAAAAUUAGCCGGGCGUGGUGGCAUGUACCUGUAAAUCCCAGCUACUUGGGAGGCUGAGGCAGGAGGAUCGCUUGAACCCGGGAGGCAGAGGUUGCAGUGAGCCAAGAUCGCACCACUGCACUCCAGCCUGGGUGAUAGAGGAAGACUCCAUCUCAAAAACAAAACAAAGUAUCCUCUGCCCCUCAAACAGAGGACUCCCUUCUUCCAACUGGCCAGUUCCACAACUCCUGAACUUUUCCUGUUGUUUUCUAUCUGGAAAGCUCCUUCCUGCCAGCCUAAAUUCCACUCAUCUGAGGUUCAGUCCAAGCUCUGCCCCCUCCCAAAAACGUUCCCGGGUUGCCGAGACCCCUUCUCAGAGCCCUUGGCUUAAGUCAGACCUCUGCAGCUUUGGUCUGCCCCUUCCGUGCCUUGAGUUCCCCUAAAAUCUCUUAAGGAGUGAAGUCUUCAGGGACAGGGAACUUGCUCUGUCAUCCCAGGAGAUGGAGAUGUGGGGAGAGUACUCCCUCAAGUCAGGUGGCGGGCAGCAAAACCCAGGCUCUGGAGAGACCUCUGCCUUUGUGCUUGGAUUUGCAGCUGGGACCUUCCCUAAUGGUCAGGGCUGUGCGGCAGAGACCACCUUGGUGUCGGCUGUGCGGGUGGAAUGGAGGGGAGGCCAGAGGCCAAAACCAGAAUGAGACCAAAAAAUGAGCGCUCACCAGGGCCCAGCCCAGGCUUAGCAUUUUCACAUUUCUUUCUUUCCCUUGACUAUCUCCAUUUACAGAUGGGAAAUGAGGCGUAGGGUGAUCAAGUGACUUGCCCAAGGUCACACAGGUGGCUCAGAAGUGGCAGGGCUGGGAUCUGCCCAUCCUCCAUGCCACAGAUGCCCAACCUGGUAGUGGGUCACUGCAGAGGCAGGGCAGGGGCUGCAGGAGGACAGGUGGCUGGAAAGCAAUCAUUUCUUAGUGAGUCCCUGCGGGGCUGGCUGUCUGCUGCACACAGGAAAAGGACGGGGGUUCCCGAGGAGGCGUGGGGUGCUCGUCUGGCUGCCCAAGGCUCCAAGGCCCUUCUAGCUCUCACGGCCUGUGUCUAUGGCCACAUCCACCAUGGUGUUCGGCUCCUGCCCCCAGGCCCUGAAUGGAGGCAGUGAGCGGCGUGCUCCAAGAUUUCUGAGGGCUUCCCACAAUGGCUGAGCACGUCCUGAUGGACCAGGGACAGCCGGGUGGCUGCAGAGGGAGGGAGAGAGGAAUGGGCAAAUCUGCUUGUCCUUCUCAAGUGCCAGCCUGUCUUCCAGAUGAGAUGUAGUGUUUAGGGCAGAACUGGGCUGGUCCAAGGCCCUUCCUACACCCCGGAACGGGGCUCAGGUACCCCAGGGGCCCUGACACUGCAGUUCCCCACCAGGAUCGCCGUCUGUGAUGAGGACAAGCUGAGUCACAAUGAGUUUAUUGGGGAGAUCCGCGUGCCCCUCCGCCGCCUCAAGCCUUCGCAGAAGAAGCAUUUUAACAUCUGCCUCGAGCGCCAGGUCCCGGUCUGUGUGGGGGCUGCAGGGGCGCCAGGGGAGGGGGCCCUGGGGAGGCCAGGCUUCCAGAACCUUCUCUUUGCCCCCUCAGCUGGCGUCCCCCUCUUCCAUGUCAGCGGCGCUGAGGGGCAUCUCCUGUUACCUAAAGGAGUUGGAGCAGGCGGAGCAGGGGCAGGGGCUGCUGGAGGAGCGUGGCCGCAUCCUGCUGAGUCUCAGCUACAGCUCACGGCGCCGGGGACUGCUGGUAGGCAUCUUGCGCUGUGCCCAUCUGGCUGCCAUGGACGUCAACGGUUACUCGGACCCCUACGUCAAGACGUACCUGAGGCCCGAUGUGGACAAGAAAUCCAAGCAUAAGACGUGCGUGAAGAAGAAGACUCUCAACCCAGAAUUUAACGAGGUGGCGUGUCCCUGGGGCCAGGUGCCCGAGGCGAGGCUCGGAAGCACUGGAGUGACUGCCUGCAGCAGCCAGAUGCAGCCCUGGAGCGCUGGCACACCCUGACCAGCGAGCUGCCCCCUGCAGCUGGGGCUCUGUCCUCAGCCUGAGUGGACAGCAGUGUCCCAGCACAGGCCCAUCGAGCCGGGUCCAGUACCCAACCUUCGCACGAGUGUGUUGCACGUUUACACGGGGUGGGCUGCCCCCACCCUGCACUACCUGUCUUAUUUUUGUGAGUCUCCGUGACCCGGGUCUGUCUGCUCAUGAGGGGCUGUGGAGUUCUAUGUUCACAUAUGCAAACCUCCUGCCUGACUCGCUAGUCCCUGCAAAUAUGCAAACCCCCCAUCAUGUGCACACCCGGGCAGUGCUCAGAGCCUGGCCCCAGGCCCCCGCGCUCCUCACUCCUGCCUCUCCACGCUGCCCCGUCCCUCUCCCCCGACAGGGAGGAGGUCGGAUUAGGGGAGGUUCAGAGGAGAAUGUCUCAAAAACAAAAAGACAAAAAACAAACCCAGAGCCACUCCUUUAAUACAGAAACGUCAUUGAAAAAACCUAGCCCUGUACAGCUGCCCUUUUAAAGAGGUGGCCAUCGCAGGGUCUCUGCCUCCCCAGCAGGUGGCAGAUGCUCCCGGCCACUCGUUUAAAUAACUGUCCCCUGGAGGGGGCCGGGGUUUGAAGGCAGGGCCCCUGCCACCCUCCUGGGGGACACCCGUGCAUGUUUACGCCUUUUCUGGUUGUGUCAGUGGCCGGAGCAUGGCAGCUGGGCGUCAAUAAACACCUCCGAGG